rnacentral:sRNA from 1 species
GCUGGGCGUGGGGGUGCACACCUGUAAUCCCAGCUGCUCAGGAAGCUGAGGCAGGAGGAUCUCGAGUUCAAAGCCAGCCCCAGCAAAAAACAAGGUGCUAAGCAACUCAGUGAGACCUUGUCUCUA